rnacentral:rRNA from 1 species
GUGAGUCAUCGAAUCUUUGAACGCACCUUGCACUCUCUGGUAUUCCGGAGAGUACGCCUGUUUGAGUGUCAUGAAACUCUCACUCCCUACCUUUUCUUAAUUGAGAAGGAAGGGACGUGGACUUGGACUCUGCUGGUCUUUACGAUCGGCUUGUCUGAAAUGAAUUAGCUGGAUCCUCUUUGUAAUUGGUUCUACUCGACGUGAUAAGUAUUUCGUCGAGGACAGUCUUAACGGACUGGCCGAGAGAAGAAGAGUCUUUUAGAUCCGCUUCUAAUCCGUACGACUUUAUGUCUACACUUUUUAUGAUCUGGCCUCAAAUCAGGUGGGACUACCCGCUGAACUUAA